rnacentral:lncRNA from 1 species
CAUCCAAAGAGACAUGAGUAGAAAGGAAACAACCUCAUUCAUAUACACCAAAAUAGAGGUUACAAGAGUCAUAAAGAGCAUAAAGUUCUCAUACAUCCAAUCUGUAAAAUAUAACUUAGUAAUCUAAUACAAAAUAAAGUCAGAGAGAUUGGGCAUUGAGCACAAGAUCAAGAUAGGUGAAAAUAUGAUCAGCCUCGUUCAUGACCGAAGGGUCUGGACUGAGAGGAAGAUGCUGGAGGGCG